AGAGUUUGAUCCUGGCUCAGAACGAACGCUGGCGGCGUGUCUUAAGCAUGCAAGUCGUGCGGCAAGGACAGCAAUGUCCCUAGAGCGGCGGACUGGUGAGUAACGCGUGGGUGAUCUACCCUUGGGUUGGGGAUAGCCAUUAGAAAUAGUGGGUAAUACCGAAUACGUUCGCGAGGCUGUGGCCUUGCGAGGAAAGGCGCUUCGGCGCCACCCGAGGAUGAGCCCGCGUCCCAUUAGCUAGUUGGUGAGGUAAUGGCCCACCAAGGCGAUGAUGGGUAGGCGGCCUGAGAGGGUGUACGCCCACACUGGGACUGAGAUACGGCCCAGACUCCUACGGGAGGCAGCAGCUAAGAAUAUUCCGCAAUGGACGAAAGUCUGACGGAGCGACGCCGCGUGGAUGACGAAGGCCGAAAGGUUGUAAAAUCCUUUUGUUGGGGAAGAAUAAGCGUGACAGGUAAUGGUCGCGUGAUGACAUGAACC
rnacentral:rRNA from 1 species